rnacentral:rRNA from 1 species
CCCUUAGAUGUUCUGGGCCGCACGCGUGCUACACUGACCGGUGCAACAAGUUUCUUUCCUUGGCUCGAUAGGCCUGGGUAAUCUUUGAACACCGGUCGUGAUGGGGAUAGAUCCUUGCAAUUUUUGAUCUUCAACGAGGAAUUCCUAGUAAAUGCGAGUCAUCAUCUCGCGUUGAUUACGUCCCUGCCCUUUGUACACACCGCCCGUCGCACCUACCGAUUGAAUGGUCCGGUGAGAAUUUUGGAUUGAUGUUUAGUCGGAUUAACGUCAGACUUUACGUUGAGAAGUUAUUCAAACCUUACCAUUUAGAGGAAGGUGAAGUCGUAACA